GGACGGGUGAGUAACACGUGGGUAACCUGCCCCUAUGAGGGGGAUAACAUUUGGAAACAGAUGCUAAUACCGCAUAGAUCCAAGAACCGCAUGGUUCUUGGCUGAAAGAUCGCGUAAGCUAUCGCUUUUGGAUGGACCCGCGGCGUAUUAGCUAGUUGGUGAGGUAAUGGCUCACCAAGGCGAUGAUACGUAGCCGAACUGAGAGGUUGAUCGGCCACAUUGGGACUGAGACACGGCCCAAACUCCUACGGGAGGCAGCAGUAGGGAAUCUUCCACAAUGGACGCAAGUCUGAUGGAGCAACGCCGCGUGAGUGAAGAAGGCUUUCGGGUCGUAAAACUCUGUUGUUGGAGAAGAAUGGUCGGCAGAGUAACUGUUGUCGGCGUGACGGUAUCCAACCAGAAAGCCACGGCUAACUACGUGCCAGCAGCCGCGGUAAUACGUAGGUGGCAAGCGUUAUCCGGAUUUAUUGGGCGUAAAGCGAGCGCAGGCGGUUUUUUAAGUCUGAUGUGAAAGCCCUCGGCUUAACCGAGGAAGCGCAUCGGAAACUGGGAAACUUGAGUGCAGAAGAGGACAGUGGAACUCCAUGUGUAGCGGUGAAAUGCGUAGAUAUAUGGAAGAACACCAGUGGCGAAGGCGGCUGUCUGGUCUGUAACUGACGCUGAGGCUCGAAAGCAUGGGUAGCGAACAGGAUUAGAUACCCUGGUAGUCCAUGCCGUAAACGAUGAAUGCU
rnacentral:rRNA from 1 species